AAGAAGAAAAGAGGAAGAUGGUGGGGUAUGGAGUUUCGGAUUCUCAUCAUUUUCUGUUUGGAUCUUCUUGGUUUUGGGGUUUCUGGUUCUGAUUGUGAAGAAGGAAAAAGCUCAAUAAA